GGCCGCCUGACCUAUUCCCAACCUUAGUGGUAAUGCACUUUCUUGCUAAGAUAUCGAAAUGAAUUGGAAUGAGGUGUCAUUCGCGCAAAGCUUCUAAUUUUCUUGGUAAAGAAAUACAAUAAUUUUUAGAAGAAAAAUGGUGUCACGCACUUAUCCUUAUUAAGUGUUUUUAUUAAUUUCAUGCAAGAAUAACAUUGUUAACACACCAAAUAAGUGUUUAAAGAAUAAAGUAAAACUCUACAAUGGUAGAUAAACAGUGUAGUAACAUAGUGAUGUCAUUUUAUAGAGUUGUGAAAUUUCAAAAUGAUUUUACGCCGCAACAAUUGUAUUGUGUAUCGCAAAAACCACAAUAACCACAAUCGCAACAACCGCAAUCAUUACCGCAUCCGUGACCGCAACCGCAAUUUAAAACUUACUGUAAAAGACAAAGUGACCAUGACAGAAUGAUAAAGAAAAAAUAUUGAAUAUUAUAGACCGACUUGGAUUAGAUAAGCGAAGAGUAAUUUUUAUGCAGAUAAACCAAAAGUAUAGAAGUGAAUAAUUAUUAAUUCGUAUAGAAGUGAAUUGAUAAGCCAAGAGUAUAGAAGUGAAUUAUUAAUUCGUAUAGAAGUGAAUUGAUAAGCCAAAAGUAGUUUUUAUGCAGAUAAUUAUAGAAGUGAAUCUGUUGAAAUAUGAUGCACAUUUUUAGAUAUUUCUAGAAUACAUUAGUAGUUUAUAGAAUAACUUAGCAUUGGUGCACAUGCUAGAAUUUUCUAGAACUAGAACACUUUAGAAGUUGAUCAUAGAAUAGAUCAAUACCAUAUAUGUAUUAAGAAAAUGUCAUGAAAAUUCUAGAAUGCAGUAUCUAGAAUAUACCACUCAUACCUAUAAAUAGGUAAACUAUGUACAAUUGUAUUGAAGCCUUUGGAAUGCAAUAUCAAUAACAUUAAGACUUAAAUAUACUACUCUCCUCCUACAAUAAGUUGACUACUACUGUGUUACAUCUUGUUCCAAUAUUAGCUUUCACACUACUUGUUACUAUCUUUCAACUAUCAACUAAAAUCUUCUACUCUAUGAAACUAUUUCCUAACUAUCACUACUACCUCAACUACUAAUAGUGGUAUCAGAGCUGCGUUCGGUCAUUCACCGGGCGUAGCAAACUAUUUUUUCUUGCCACCAACUAUUUGUUUAAACUAGAAAACAGGAUCUAUGACUCAAACACAAAAGGAGUACAGGUAGCCACACGACUCGACUCUGUUUGAGUUCAAACCCAAAACUAAAAAUGAGAUAGAGGAGUUCAAGUAGCCUAACAGCUCGACCCUCUUAAGUUCAUGUCCAACUAAUGUCAAUCCUUUGGCAAAUAAAGCUCAAGUUCAGAUAGAGCACAAGCACAGACGAUAAAUACAAAUGGAGACUUAUUGCCUCUGAGGCUCAACUUGAGUACAAGG
rnacentral:lncRNA from 1 species